rnacentral:rRNA from 1 species
GUGGGGAAUUUUGGACAAUGGGCGCAAGCCUGAUCCAGCAAUGCCGCGUGCAGGAAGAAGGCCUUCGGGUUGUAAACUGCUUUUGUACGGAACGAAACGGUCCUGGUUAAUACCUGGGGCUAAUGACGGUACCGUAAGAAUAAGCACCGGCUAACUACGUGCCAGCAGCCGCGGUAAUACGUAGGGUGCGAGCGUUAAUCGGAAUUACUGGGCGUAAAGCGUGCGCAGGCGGUGCUGUAAGACAGGCGUGAAAUCCCCGGGCUCAACCUGGGAAUUGCGCUUGUGACUGCAGUGAUGGAGUACGGCAGAGGGGGAUGGAAUUCCGCGUGUAGCAGUGAAAUGCGUAGAUAUGCGGAGGAACACCGAUGGCGAAGGCAGUCACCUGGGCCUGUACUGACGCUCAUGCACGAAAGCGUGGGGAGCAAACAGGAUUAGAUACCCGGGUAGUCC